rnacentral:rRNA from 1 species
GACGAACGCUGGCGGCGUGCUUAACACAUGCAAGUCGAGCGAGAUCCAUCCAGUGGCAACACUGGUGAAGAUCUAGCGGCGAACGGGUGAGUAACACGUGAGCAACCUGCCCCGAAGACCGGGAUAACAGCGGGAAACCGCUGCUAAUACCGGAUGCCCUCACCGGGCCGCAUGACCUGGUGAGGAAAUGGCUGAGUCUUAAUAAACUCAGUCCGCUUCGGGAGGGGCUCGCGGGCUAUCAGCUUGUUGGUGAGGUAACGGCUCACCAAGGCUACGACGGCUAGCUGGUCUGAGAGGACGACCAGCCACACUGGGACUGAGACACGGCCCAGA